UAGGGAAUCUUCCGCAAUGGACGAAAGUCUGACGGAGCAACGCCGCGUGAGCGAUGAAGGCCUUCGGGUCGUAAAGCUCUGUUGUUAGGGAAGAACAAGUACCGUUCGAAUAGGGUGGUACCUUGACGGUACCUAACCAGAAAGCCACGGCUAACUACGUGCCAGCAGCCGCGGUAAUACGUAGGUGGCAAGCGUUGUCCGGAAUUAUUGGGCGUAAAGCGCGCGCAGGCGGUUCCUUAAGUCUGAUGUGAAAGCCCACGGCUCAACCGUGGAGGGUCAUUGGAAACUGGGGAACUUGAGUGCAGAAGAGGAAAGCGGAAUUCCACGUGUAGCGGUGAAAUGCGUAGAGAUGUGGAGGAACACCAGUGGCGAAGGCGGCUUUCUGGUCUGUAACUGACGCUGAGGCGCGAAAGCGUGGGGAGCAAACAGGAUUAGAUACCCUGGUAGUCCACGCCGUAAACGAUGAGUGCUAAGUGUUAGGGGGUUUCCG
rnacentral:rRNA from 1 species